rnacentral:rRNA from 1 species
GAUGAACGCUGGCGGCGUGCCUAAUACAUGCAAGUCGAGCGAACAGACGAGAGUGCUUGCACUCUCUGACGUUAGCGGCGGACGGGUGUGUAACACGUGGGUAACCUACCUAUAAGACUGGGAUAACUUCGGGAAACCGGAGCUAAUACCGGAUAAUAUUUAGCUUCGCAUGAAGCAAUAGUGAAAGACGGUUCUGCUGUCACUUAUAGAUGGACCCGCGGUGUAUUAGCUAGUUGGUGAGGUAACGGCUCACCAAGGCAACGAUACAUAGCCGACCUGAGAGGGUGAUCGGCCACACUGGGACUGAGAAACGGCCCAGACUCCUACGGGAGGCAGCAGUAGGGAAUCUUCCGCAAUGGACGAAAGUCUGACGGAGCAAUGCCGCGUGAGUGAAGAAGGUUUUCGGAUCGUAAAACUCUGUUGUAAGGGAAGAACAAGUACGUUAGUAACUGAACGUACCUUGACGGUACCUUACCAGAAAGCCACGGCUAACUACGUG